ACUCCUACGGGAGGCAGCAGUGGGAAUAUUGGACAAUGGGCGAAAGCCUGAUCCAGCCAUGCCGCGUGAGUGAUGAAGGCUCUAGGGUUGUAAAGCUCUUUCACCGGUGAAGAUAAUGACGGUAACCGGAGAAGAAGCCCCGGCUAACUUCGUGCCAGCAGCCGCGGUAAUACGAAGGGGCUAGCGUUGUUCGGAAUUACUGGGCGUAAAGCGCACGUAGGCGGAUCGGAAAGUUGGGGGUGAAAUCCCGGGGCUCAACCCCGGAACGGCCUCCAAAACUAUCGGUCUUGAGUUCGAGAGAGGUAAGUGGAAUUCCUAGUGUAGAGGUGAAAUUCGUAGAUAUUAGGAGGAACACCAGAGGCGAAGGCGGCUUACUGGACAGAUACUGACGCUGAGGCACGAAAGUGUGGGGAGCAAACAGGAUUAGAUACCCUGGUAGGUCAGUC
rnacentral:rRNA from 1 species